rnacentral:rRNA from 1 species
AGUGAACGCUGGCGGUAGGCCUAACACAUGCAAGUCGAACGGCAGCACCGUAAGAGCUUGCUCUUACGGGUUGCGAGUGGCGGACGGGUGAGGAAUACAUCGUAAUCUACUUUUUCGGGGGGGUUCACGUAAGGAAACCUACGCUAAUACCGCAUCCGACCUACGGGUGAAAGCAGUGGAUCGUCUGACCUGUCGCGAUUGAAUGAGCCGAUGUCGGGUUAGCUAGUUGGCGGGGUAAAGGCCCACUAAGGCGACGAUCCGUAGCUUGUGUGAGAGGAUGAUCGGCCACACUGGAACUGAGACACGGUCCAGACUCCUAAGGGAGGCAGCAGUGGGGAAUAUUGGACAAUGGGCGGAAGCAUGAUCCAGCCAUACCGCGUGGGUGAAGAAGGCCUUCGGGGUGUAAAGCCCUUUUGUUGGGAAAGAAAAGCAGCAGGUUAAUACCCCGCUGUUCUGACGGUACCCAAAGAAUAAGCGCCGGCUAACUUCGUG